rnacentral:misc_RNA from 1 species
GAUGAAGAACGUAGCGAAAUGCGAUAAGUAAUGCGAAUUGCAGAUUUCAGUGAAUCAUCGAAUCUUUGAACGCACAUUGCGCCCGCCAGUAUUCUGGCGGGCAUGCCUGUUCGAGCGUCAUUUCAACCAUCAAGCCCCCGGGCUUGUGUUGGGGACCUGCGGCUGCCCGCAGGCCCUGAAAACCAGUGGCGGGCUCGCUGUCACACCGAGCGUAGUAGCAUCAUCUCGCUCAGGGCGUGCUGCGGGUUCCGGCCGUUAAAAAGCCUCUAAUACCCAAGGUUGACCUCGGAUCAGGUAGGAAGACCCGCUGAACUUAAGCAUAUCAAUAAGCGGAGGA